rnacentral:rRNA from 1 species
UGGGGAAUUGUUCGCAAUGGGCGCAAGCCUGACGACGCAACGCCGCGUGGAGGAUGAAGGUCUUCGGAUCGUAAACUCCUGUUGCCCGGGACGAAUAGCUUCGACCUAACACGUCGGAGUAUGACGGUACCGGGUGAGGAAGCCCCGGCUAACUCUGUGCCAGCAGCCGCGGUAAUACAGAGGGGGCAAGCGUUGUUCGGAAUUACUGGGCGUAAGGGCGCGUAGGCGGCCUGUUAAGUCGAACGUGAAAUCCCUGGGCUCAACCCAGGAACUGCGUCCGAUACUGGCUGGCUUGAAUCCGGGAGAGGGAUGCGGAAUUCCAGGUGUAGCGGUGAAAUGCGUAGAUAUCUGGAGGAACAUCAGUGGCGAAGGCGGCCCUCUGGUCCAGUACUGACACUCAAGAGCGAAAGCCAGGGGAGCAAACGGGAUUAGAUACCCACGUAGUCCCUGAGCGGGCUGGCAAGGCGCAU